rnacentral:rRNA from 1 species
AAUACUCCGCCGGCGACCGGCGCACGGGUGCGUAACGCGUAUGCAACCUACCUUUAACAGGGGCAUAACACUGAGAAAUUGGUACUAAUUCCCCAUAACAUUCGAGAAGGCAUCUUCUUGGGUUAAAAACCCCGGUGGUUAAAGAUGGGCAUGCGUUGUAUUAGCUAGUUGGUGAGGUAACGGCUCACCAAGGCAACGAUACAUAGGGGGACUGAGAGGUUAACCCCCCACAUUGGUACUGAGACACGGACCAA